rnacentral:rRNA from 1 species
UUCCGGUUGAUCCUGCCGGAGGCUACCGCUAUUGGAGUUCGAUUAAGCCAUGCGAGUCGCGAGUCUUAGGGACUCGGCGUACCGCUCAGUAACACGUGGGUAACCUGCCCUAUGCUGGGGGAUAACCUCGGGAAACUGAGAAUAAUACCCCAUAGUUCACCACGCCUGGAACGGUGGGUGGACCAAAGCUCCGGCGGCAUAGGAUGGGCCUGCGGCGUAUCAGGUUGUAGGGGGUGUAAUGUACCCUCUAGCCCUCUACGCGUACGGGUGUUGAGAGACAUCGCCCGGAGAUGGAUUCUGAGACACGAAUCCAGACCCUACGGGGUGCAGCAGGCGCGAAAACUUGGCAAUGCGAGAAAUCGUGACCAGGGAACUCCAAGUGCAUCGGGUAAGACCGAUGCUUUUCUUGACUCUUCAAAGGUCUUGGAAUAAGGGGUGGGUAAGGACGGUGCCAGCCGCCGCGGUAAUACCGGCGCCCCAAGUGGUAGUCGCUUUUAUUGGGCCUAAAACGUCCGUAGCCGGUCUGGUACAUUCGUGGGUAAAUCAACCAGCUCAACUGGUUGAAUUCUGCGAGCACGGCCAGACUUGGGACCGGGAGAGGUGUGGGGUACUCUUAGGGUAGGGGUAAAAUCCUGUCAUCCUGAGGGGACCACCUGUUGCGAAGGCGCCACACUAGAACGGAUCCGACGGUCAGGGACGAAGCCUAGGGGCACGAACCGGAUUAGAUACCCGGGUAGUCCUAGGUGUAAACGCUGUGGACUUGAUGUUGGGGGCGCUCCGAGCGCACUCAGUGUCGAAGCGAAGGUGAUAAGUCCACUGCCUGGGGAGUACGGUCGCAAGGCUGAAACUUAAAGGAAUUGGCGGGGGAGCACCGCAACCUGAGGAUUGUGCGGUUUAAUUGGAUUCAACGCCGG